AGUGAACGCUGGCGGUAGGCCUAACACAUGCAAGUCGAACGGCAGCACAGUAAGAGCUUGCUCUUACGGGUGGCGAGUGGCGGACGGGUGAGGAAUACAUCGGAAUCUACUUUUUCGUGGGGGAUAACGUAGGGAAAAUUACGCUAAUACCGCAUACGACCUACGGGUGAAAGCAGGGGAUCUUCGGACCUUGCGCGAUUGAAUGAGCCGAUGUCGGAUUAGCUAGUUGGCGGGGUAAAGGCCCACCAAGGCGACGAUCCGUAGCUGGUCUGAGAGGAUGAUCAGCCACACUGGAACUGAGACACGGUCCAGACUCCUACGGGAGGCAGCAGUGGGGAAUAUUGGAAAAUGGGCGCAAGCCUGAUCCAGCCAUACCGCGUGGGUGAAGAAGGCCUUCGGGUUGUAAAGCCCUUUUGUUGGGAAAGAAAAGCAGCAGGUUAAUACCCCGCUGUUCUGACGGUACCCAAAGAAUAAGCACCGGCUAACUUCGU
rnacentral:rRNA from 1 species